AUGGCGGUGUCUUGGCGGCAUUACUUUGUUGUUUGUUGGGAGCAUCGUGCGGGGAGACAUGACUUGAAGGUUUCAUGUUGCGGUUCUUCGGUGCUCGUCGCGGGUCCAGAUAAAUCUUUAUCGGCGCAAUAUCGUGCGUGCGUACGAGCGAGGCCUCCUGCCCUCGAGCGCCUAUUGACACACGCCCUAGAUCAGAUCCCGCCGACGACUGCCCCUCCUCAGCGUCCUCCCGCCGCCCUCCCCUUCGAUCUGAUCUCCUUCGCACCCCGCCGUCGCCGGCGACUCCUCGGCGCCUCGCCGUCGCCGGCGACUCCUCGGCGCCUCGCCGUCGCCGUCACAUCAGACGCCGGCCACUCCUCCACGGCCUCACGCUGUCGUCCUCUCCUUCGCAAGGAACACCCGACCCUUCCUCCGCGGCCUUGUGACGCCGACUACUCCUUCGUGGCCUCACGCCGCCCUCCUCUCCCUCCUUCCUUCAGACUCAACGUCGGCGCAGCAGCAACAGUCCUUGCGACGGUGGGUGCCGGAGCUUGUCAAGCAACUCACCGUCGGCGGCCACGACUACCUCAUUCCCUGCCGUGCGUCUCCGUCAACUACUGUGGCAUUGACGACAGCGAGCUAGGAGCCUACGAGGUAGACGCCCUGUUGACUGUGUCGUCAAGGCCUCCACAUGGCUCCUCUUGCGGCAGACUGCUGGUUGUUUGUCAUGUCCUUGAUCACCCUAAUUUAAUCCAAGUCAGGGUGACCCAGAAGUUCCCUUUCAUCAGCAGUUACAGAGCAUUCAGAGUUCCGAGCUCUGUCGACGUCGCCAGCCUUGUGAAAUGCCAACUCGUCGCUUCUUUCGGUGGUAAUUCUCGAUUCUUUGCACCCUUACAUGCAGAUUCAGAGAUGAGUGUCAAAUUCUUCAGACAAGUUCUGAGACAGAGCAAGAUCCUUACAUACUACUUGUGUGCAGCUGACGGGAAACACGUAGAUGUUACUGGACUGCAAUUACCCGGCGUGCUGGAUGACAUGUUUGCAUACACAGGACCGCUCGGUGCGGUUUUCAGCAAGGACUCUGUGAGCCUGCACCUUUGGGCUCCUACAACACAGGUUUGGCUUCUAAAGACGACACAUUUUACCAUCUCAAGUGUCGCCUCCGGUUCUGUACUAUUCCCGCUUAUAUGUAAAAUGUCCCCAAUAUAUCUUGCAAGAUGUGAGUGUGUGGUUCUUGGAUGGUUCGCCGGCCCUGCUCUAGAGACGGUGCAGCUCAAGGAGUCAAAUGCUGGUGACCUUUAUGCUAGAGGCCUUUCUGCAAAUGGAGCGCGAACCUGGUUGGUUGACAUUAACAAUGAAACAUUGAAGCCAGCUUCCUGGGAUGAAUUGGCCGAUGAGAAGCCAAAACUUGAUUCCUGCUUUGACAUAACCAUCUACGAAUUGCACAUUCGUGAUUUUAGGCCUCGGCAGGAAUGUUUGACUCAUGUGCAUUUGUUGCCAAGCUUUCAUUUUGCUGGCGUUGACGACAUUAAGAGCAACUGGAAAUUUUUCGAUGAGUGUGAACUAGCAACAUUCCCUCCAGGAUCAGAUAUGCAACAAGCAGCAGUAGUAGCUAUUCAGGAAGAGGACCCUUUUAAUUGGGGAGAUGCAGACGAGAGGAAGAGAGCCUCCCCCAAGCUAUGUCUAGGCGAUGCACAGGCGACGGCCACCCUUCCUGUUAUUGCCUCCAUGGCUGACUGCUCAUCCUCAGUAACCUCCCCCCCUCACGUGCGCCACACUCUGGGAUUAAGUUUAUCAAUCAUGCAAUUUGUUGUUAGCAACAUGUACCAGAUUUUGAUAGGUGAAUUAUCGCAAGUUAGUCCCGUGUUGAUCAUCUUCAAAGAACAGAAAACGUUGCGAGCCGAAUGCGUCAUCGACGAGGAGGUGAGUUUGGAUUUGGACGGUGAAGAUGAGAAGAUAGUUGGGGAGGAAGAAGGUGGUGGCAUAAAUGGGGUGGUUGUGCUGCAUGUCCAAGGCUGCACUAGGGAGGCGCGAGCGGUGCCUCCCGCAAGAUUCCAUUGGGGCGACGCAUGGGCGGCAGCCACCCCCAAGACCCUGCAUGUUGCAACCACUAACAAGUCCAGUCACCAUCACAUGUUUACUGCGUGGAUUCCAUAUUUGUCACAAUAUUGGCAUAAUCGACAUGUAUCGUUCUCCGCCGCCCUCCCAUCGAUCUGCGGCCGAUCCCUGCGGAGCUUCCCUUCCCAAUCCGAUCUGACGGAGAGAGUGCCAGAUCCGGCCGGGAGAGCCGCUGUAGAGCCUCCACGUCGGUGGAGCAGCACCUCCUGCCACGGGCGCCGCCGCCACCUCCUGCCUCACGACCCUUUGCCGCGACUCCGCCCCCAAGCGCCGCUCCCGCACGCAACCCGAACCCUAUCCCGCCAUGCUUCGCUGCCUCGCCGCUUGAACCGCGCUGAUGGAGCCCGAGCAGCGGUGGCCGACCCCGUCGCCGCCGCCGAGCCUGUGGACGAGGAGAAGGAGAAGGAGGAGGAGACAGAGGCGGCCGAGGACGAGGAGGACACGCUGCUGGACCGCGCGCAGCCUGAUCUCACGGGUCCCUUUGCACAUGUGCAGUUCGUCAAUGGACCAAUGCCUAAUCUCCCCAAGGUUGAUGUUUCACUGGACCCGGUGAAGGAGUUGAGCAGACCAGGUUAUUUUACGAGGGUUGUGUGCACUGAACCCCAUUUCUCUGGACCAAGGGACGAUGAACAAGAUGGGAAUGAGGAGGAUGCUACUAAUCCGGAGUAG
rnacentral:rRNA from 1 species